rnacentral:rRNA from 1 species
AGUGAACGCUGGCGGUAGGCCUAACACAUGCAAGUCGAACGGCAGCGCAGUAAGAGCUUGCUCUUACGGGUGGCGAGUGGCGGACGGGUGAGGAAUACAUCGGAAUCUACUUUUUCGUGGGGGAUAACGUAGGGAAACUUACGCUAAUACCGCAUACGACCUACGGGUGAAAGCAGGGGAUCUUCGGACCUCGCGCGAUUGAAUGAGCCGAUGUCGGAUUAGCUAGUUGGCGGGGUAAAGGCCCACCAAGGCGACGAUCCGUAGCUGGUCUGAGAGGAUGAUCAGCCACACUGGAACUGAGACACGGUCCAGACUCCUACGGGAGGCAGCAGUGGGGAAUAUUGGACAAUGGGCGCAAGCCUGAUCCAGCCAUACCGCGUGGGUGAAGAAGGCCUUCGGGUUGUAAAGCCCUUUUGUUGGGAAAGAAAAGCAGCAGGUUAAUACCCCGCUGUUCUGACGGUACCCAAAGAAUAAGCACCGGCUAACUUCGUG